UCCUUUCCUGCAUUAGAGAUUGGCUCUGGGAGAGGGGAAGGCGGUUGCAGCAUAAUAUUACCUUGUGAUUCCAUGACCCUCCUCUAUGCAUCCCUAACUCUCAAAAGCUGAUUCAGCUUUCAGCUUCAGCUCUGGUGACUCCACUGCUGCAACAGACUCUUCUAACAGGACGCCUACUCACAUAAUAAUUCUGUCCCGCUAUGGAGAUAUCGAUCAAAAUAAUGCCAUUUAACAUAAAAAGAUAUCAGAGCAGAGGGCACAGCAUUCGUCUAUAGUGUGGAAAGAUGCAGCCUGCUGCAGUGACAUCUACGGACCCCAGAGUAGCCGCUAAUAUUGGAGGACUGUUGCCCAACCUGGACCUGCCCAAGAUUUCCAGAGCCAUUUCCCUCUUACCCAUACAGCUGCCAUUUUGUCGCAGCUUAUUCAUCAGACAAUAUUCUUCCUUCCAACCAGAGCAACCUCAAAGACCACAAUCUUCCAACCUAUGUUUCGCACCUUUCAACUGACCUCUUUGAACAGAGUAUAUGCAUCAAAAGGUUUCUUUUCAUUCUCCAUACAAUGCUUAUCAUAAAGCUGGACAGCCACUCGUCCUUGACCUUGUAAUGGACACUCACCUCUUAGAGGUUCCCUGUGUGCAUGGAAAGGUUUCUUUCACUCCUUCCUCGUUCCAGACAGUAAUCGCUCUCUCAUCACAAUGUGGGUAAAAAGAUAUUUUUGACGGAUAUCCAACAAUAAACAGAUAUUUAUUCUCAAUUAAAUAGGUAUAUCCACAAAAACGAUAAAAACAUAAACCCAAACACAGAAAAUGACCCAAAAUAGGCUUCUGGUUUGCUCCACCGUGCACCCUCAGGUAUAAAGCACCACGUUUGCCACUUAUUCGGCAAACUUCUAUAUAAUAUAGAGUGCCGUGCCGCGGGACACUUGCAGGGGUGCCUCAGGUUGGUGGUCAAGGACCAAUUCAAACUAUUUAUUGUCAAUUUAAUAGGCAAAACCAGUGCUGAUGGCUUCCAGUUAUAAAAUAUGUGGACAAACAGAAGCAAAUCUUGUCCCUCACCACACAACUGACCCUAAGGAUGACAUAUAAACAUAAUUUACUUAAUCUAAUAUUUUUUUCGAAAUUUCUCAAUAAGAAAAUUGUGGCCUAGGGGUGCCGUGAAAAAAAAUCUGACAAUCCAGGGUGCCGUGACUCACAAAAGUUUGGGAUCCACUGGCCUAGGGUAUAAAAACACCAACGCGUUUCGGAUUUGAUAUCCUUCCUCAGGGUGAUCUAAAUAGGAAAUUGCUACUAAUGAAUUUUAUUAAUAUCAGAAAAUAGAAAACGUUGCUUUCUAGUGAGAAAAUAAAACAAAAUAAUAAUGUCACGUACAUGACUUAUUCUUAUGUCACAUACCUGACCAUUAUAAUUCUAAUAAUAAAUUGUUCUUAAUAUUUUGGGGAUUUUAGAUAGGCUGAUGUUAAUUUCUUUUGCAAAACAGAUUUUGUAAACCAAAUAAUCUGGGAGAAAAACUAUUGUGCAAAGGAUCAUGAGGCUAAUUCAGACCUGAUCGCUAGAAAAUGAUUUUUGCACUGCUGCAAGCAGAUAGUUGCCGCCCACAGGUAUUUUAGCUGUGCAAGUGUGCAAACGCCUGUGUAGCAGAGCUGUACAAACAGAUUUUGUGCAGUCUCUGCACAGUUCAGGAUUUACUCAGCAGCUGCGAUCACUUCAGCCUGUCCGGGACCGGAAUUGACAUCAGACACCCGCCCUGCAAACGCUUGGGAAUUCCUGUGUUUUUCCAACCACUCCCAGAAAAUGGUCAGUUGCCACCCACAAACGCCUUCUUCCUGUCAAUCUCCUAGCGAACGCUCAUGCGAAUGGAUCCUUUGCACAAACCCAUCGGUGAGCAGCGAUCCGCUUUGUACACAUGCGGCGCGCCUGCGCAUUGCAGUGCAUAUGCAUGCGCAGUUUAGACCUGAUCGCAGGCUGUACGAAAACGCGGCCUACCGAUCAGGUCUAAAUUUCCCCCCAUGUACAGUAUGUGAGUGUAGAAAAUAACCUAAGUAUUCUCAGAUACAACAAUUUUUGAUGGGGCAGUUUUAU